UUGCCGACUUCCAAAUAAUUUAUAUCUUUUAAACAUUUUUAAUUUAAUACAGUUCUUUUUAGAAGUAAAUAUGGAUACUAAACGUUGUAAUAACUCUCAAAACAGCUUAAAACGUUAGAUUUGGGAUCUUAAAUCAUUACAAGGAGUACAUAACUAAUGAGGAAAACCCAAUAAAACUGAGCAAAAAUGUUAAUAAAAUUGAGAAGUUGCAAAAACCUAUUAAAUAAAGGCCUGGUAUAUUCAUCGUCA
rnacentral:lncRNA from 1 species